rnacentral:rRNA from 1 species
GCAGUAGCCGCGGUAAAACGUAGGUCCCGAGCGUUGUCCGGAUUUAUUUGGCGUAAAGCGAGCGCAGGCGGUUAGAUAAGUCUGAAGUUAAAGGCUGUGGCUUAACCAUAGUACGCUUUGGAAACUGUUUAACUUGAGUGCAAGAGGGGAGAGUGGAAUUCCAUGUGUAGCGGUGAAAUGCGUAGAUAUAUGGAGGAACACCGGUGGCGAAAGCGGCUCUCUGGCUUGUAACUGACGCUGAGGCUCGAAAGCGUGGGGAGCAAACAGGAUUAGAUACCCCUGUAGUCCCUGUCUCUUAUACA